UGAUAUUUACACUUCCGAUUUACUAUAUUCCUACUGGGAAUUAGUAAACGGGGUGCGAUGAGCAAUUGUCGUGCCUGCCACUGCGCAAAGGAAGGGUACUAGUGAUGAA
rnacentral:ncRNA from 1 species